rnacentral:rRNA from 1 species
CAGCAGCCGCGGUAACACGUAGGUGGCAAGCGUUGUCCGGAAUUAUUGGGCGUAAAGGGCUCGCAGGCGGUUUCUUAAGUCUGAUGUGAAAGCCCCCGGCUCAACCGGGGAGGGUCAUUGGAAACUGGGAAACUUGAGUGCAGAAGAGGAGAGUGGAAUUCCACGUGUAGCGGUGAAAUGCGUAGAGAUGUGGAGGAACACCAGUGGCGGAGGCGACUCUCUGGUCUGUAACUGACGCUGAGGAGCGAAAGCGUGGGGAGCGAACAGGAUUAGAUACCCCAGUAGUCCAUGUCUCUUAUAC